rnacentral:rRNA from 1 species
UCGAUAUAACUUGAUUAUUAAAUAAUUACUCUUAUUUAAGGUUAAUUUGUUUAUUAAAUAAAUCAUUUUAUUGUUGAUGUAUUGGUUAGGGAGAUAAUUGAUUUGGUUAAAGAUUAUUUGUACUGUGAAGGUUAUUAAUUUUGCUUAAUAUUUACUAAGUAAGAUUUAUUUUUUGUACCUUGUGUCUCAGGGUUGAUUAAUUAAUAAUUAUUGAUUAAUAUUUAUCUCGAUAUUAUUAGAGUUAGUUAAUCAUGCUAGUUGUUGUGUUAAAUACAUUAGUAAUGGUUAAUUAGUAAUGAAAUGUUAUUCGUUAAUAAGGGUAUCUAGUUUUUUAGGAAAUAAAUUUAAUUUAGUCUUUUUCUUUAGAAGGUAUAAUUAUUUAUAUUUUUUUUAGUAAAGAAUAUUAAAUGGGGGGAUAAGCUCUUACUUAAAAUAAUAUAAGGAGUUAUUUGGUUACAAAUAUUAUGGAGUUAAUAUUAUUUAUUGAUGAGAAUAUGUUGAAAUUUUAUUUUUAUAUGGUUUAAUUCAUUUUUCUUUAUAAAUUUACUAAGAUAUUUGUUGAAUCUAUUUAUGCUUAUAAAUAAUGAUUAAAUUAGUAUAUAAUUUUGUUUAUUGUGAAAUACUUUAAAGGAACUGGGCAAAGAUAAAUAUAGAUUAAUAUGUUAUAAGGAAUAUGUCUAUCCGCCUGUUUAACAAAAACAUCUCUUCCUUAUGUAUAUAGGAAGUAAUACCUGCCCAAUGAAUUUUGAAUGGCCGCGGUAUUUUGACCGUGCAAAGGUAGCAUAAUCAUUAGUCUUUUUAUUGAGGACUGGAAUGAAUGGUUUGACGAGAUAGAAUCUGUCUUUAAUUUAAUGUAUAGAAAUUAAUUUUUGGGUGAAAAAGCUUAAAUAUUUUUAUGGGACGAGAAGACCCUAUAGAGUUUAAAUAUUAAUGUUUUGUCUAUAAGUGUUUGUAAAUUUUUGGUUAAGCAUUGAUUUAUUUGGUUGGGGUGAUUGAAAGAUAAUAAUAACUCUUUUUGGUUUCGUAAGUAUUUAUUGAUAUAAUUUUAUGAUCCAUUAUUAUUGAUUACAAGACUAAAUUACCUUAGGGAUAACAGCGUAAUCUUUUUUGAGAGAUCAUAUUGACAAUAAGGGUUGCGACCUCGAUGUUGGAUUAAGAAUAUCUUGGGUGUAGAAGCUUAGGGGACAAGUCUGUUCGACUAAUAAAUUCUUACAUGAUCUGAGUUCAGACCGGCGUGAGCCAGGUUGGUUUCUAUCUAUUUUUAAAUGAUAUACUUUAGUACGAAAGGACCAAGUAUUGGGAAUAAUUUCUUUGUUUAUGCUUUCUAAUACUAUUUUGGCAGAGAAGUGCAUUAGAUUUAGGAUCUAUAAAUGUAGGUUU